AUUCUUGGACGGUUAUUGGAUAUGAAGUUCCUUGUUAGCUGUCUCGAGUGUUUUUGCGGCAGAGAUUUCCAUCAGUUGCCUCCCCCAAACCAUCUCAGUGUAGAUUUACCCCGUUCACUCUUUUUGAAAAACCAAAGUAGGUUGAUUUUUUACCUCAUCCUGGAGAAUUCAGAGAGAAAUUGCACUUUGUCGUGUACCAGUACCCUUUUCAACUCCGCAUCUCUUGGCUCUCGCAUCGAUGAAGAACGCAGCGAAAUGCGAUACGUAGUGUGAAUUGCAGAAUUCAGUGGAUCAUCGAAUCUUUGAACGCACCUUGCGCCCCUUGGCAUUCUGAGGGGCACACCCUUUUGAGUGUCAUGAAAUUCUCAACCUUUUUCCCUUUUAUUCUUCGAAUCGAGGGGGGGAAAGGCUUGGACUUUGGAGGCUUCUGCUGGCCCUCUCCCUCUUUUGAGGCCAGCUCCUCUUAAAUGAAUUAGUGGGGUUCCCUUUGCUGAUCCUCGACGUAUGAUAAAGCCAUUUCUACGUCUCUAGAGAGGCAAAGAGACCUGCUUCUAAUCGUCUCUUAGAGACAAUCUAUGAACCCUUUUGACCUCAAAUCGGGUGAGACUACCCGCUGAACUUAAGCAUAUCAAUAAGCGGAGGAAAAGAAACUAACAAGGAUUCCCCUAGUAACUGCGAGUGAAGCGGGAAAAGCUCAAAUUUAAAAUCUGGCGGUCUUUGGCCGUCCGAGUUGUAAUUUAGAGAAGCGUCUUCCGCGCUGGACCGUGUACAAGGUCUCCUGGA
rnacentral:rRNA from 1 species